UAGGGAAUCUUCGGCAAUGGGGGGAACCCUGACCGAGCAACGCCGCGUGAGUGAAGAAGGUUUUCGGAUCGUAAAGCUCUGUUGUUAAGGAAGAACGAGUGUGAGAAUGGAAAGUUCAUACUGUGACGGUACUUAACCAGAAAGGGACGGCUAACUACGUGCCAGCAGCCGCGGUAAUACGUAGGUCCCAAGCGUUGUCCGGAUUUAUUGGGCGUAAAGCGAGCGCAGGCGGUUAGAAAAGUCUGAAGUGAAAGGCAGUGGCUCAACCAUUGUAGGCUUUGGAAACUGCUUAACUUGAGUGCAGAAGGGGAGAGUGGAAUUCCAUGUGUAGCGGUGAAAUGCGUAGAUAUAUGGAGGAACACCGGUGGCGAAAGCGGCUCUCUGGUCUGUAACUGACGCUGAGGCUCGAAAGCGUGGGGAGCGAACAGG
rnacentral:rRNA from 1 species